rnacentral:rRNA from 1 species
AGUGAACGCUGGCGGCAGGCCUAACACAUGCAAGUCGAACGGAAGCACAGUAAGAGUUUGCGCUUACGGGGGGCGAGAGGGGGACGGGAGAGGUAUAUAACCGAAUCUACUCUUUGGUGGGGGAUCACGAAGCGGAAGUUACGACAAUACAGCAUACGCUCUAGCGGUGAAAGGGUGGGAUAUUCUGACCUUGCGCGAUUGAAUGAGCGGAUGUGGGAUUAGCUAGUGGGGGGGGGAAUGGCCCACGAAGGCGACGAUCCGUAGCUGGUCUGAGAGGAUGAUCAGCCACACUGGAACUGAGACACGGUCCAGACUCCUACGGGAGGCAGCAGUGGGGAAUAUUGGACAAUGGGCGCAAGCCUGGUCCAGCCAUACCGCGUGGGUGAAGAAGGCCUUCGGGUUGUAAAGCCCUUUUGUGGGGAAAGAAAAGCAGCAGGUUAAUACCCCGCUGUUCUGACGGUACCCAAAGAAUAAGCACCGGCUAACUUCGUG